CUGAACUGUUCAAUAUCUUGCCUCUAAAUCCAUAAAACAUUUACAAAAUGCAAAUGCUAUUUUAAUACUGUAUAAAAUGUGCCAUAUUUAAUUACAAUUGUGUUGGGACCGAUCAGGCGGGCGGUUGUUUUUUCUUUUUUUUGGGGGGGGAUACUUUUUUAAAUAUGGCUAUUUGGUGGGGGGUAGGUAGUUUUUUGUUUCCCG